rnacentral:rRNA from 1 species
UACGUAGGGGGCUAGCGUUGUCCGGAAUCAUUGGGCGUAAAGCGCGCGUAGGCGGUCAGGUAAGUCCGGCGUGAAAGUCAAAGGCUCAACCUUUGAAUGCCGCUGGAUACUGCCUGACUUGAGUCCGGAAGGGGCGAGUGGAAUUCCUGGUGUAGCGGUGAAAUGCGCAGAUAUCAGGAAGAACACCCGUGGCUAAGGCGGUUCUCUAGUACGGUACUGACGCUGAGACGCGAAAGCGUGGGGAGCGAACAGG